UACGGAGGGUGCGAGCGUUGUCCGGAAUCAUUGGGCGUAAAGGGCGCGUAGGUGGCCCGGUCAGUCUUUGGUGAAAGCCCGGGGCUCAACCCCGGAACAGCCUUUAAGACUGCAUCGCUAGAAUCCGGGAGAGGUGAGUGGAAUUCCGAGUGUAGAGGUGAAAUUCGUAGAUAUUCGGAAGAACACCAGUGGCGAAGGCGGCUCACUGGACCGGUAUUGACGCUGAGGUGCGAAAGCGUGGGGAGCAAACAGG
rnacentral:rRNA from 1 species